CCUACGGGCGGCAGCAGUGAGGAAUAUUGGUCAAUGGGCGGGAGCCUGAACCAGCCAAGCCGCGUGAAGGAAGACGGUACAGCGUAUCGUAAACCGCUUUUGUCAGGGAACAAAGGCGGGGACUAGUCCCCGGAUGAGGGUACCUGAAGAAAAAGCAUCGGCUAACUCCGUGCCAGCAGCCGCGGUAAUACGGAGGAUGCGAGCGUUAUCCGGAAUUACUGGGCGUAAAGGGUGCGUAGGUGGUUUCUUAAGUCAGAGGUGAAAGGCCACGGCUCAACCGUAGUAAGCCUUGGAAACUGGGGUACUUGAGUGCAGGGGAGGCGGGUGGAAUUCGUAGUGUAGCGGUGAAAUGCGUAGAUAUUAGGAGGAACACCAGUUGCGAAGGCGGCUCUCUGCAGUGGAACUGACACUGAGGCACGAAAGCGCGGGGAGCAAACAGGAUUAGAUACCCUUGUAGUC
rnacentral:rRNA from 1 species